AGUAGCACAAUUGCCAUAUAACCCGAUAGGAGCCGAAUAUUUCUAACACAUCUUUUGCAAUUUGAGUUGGGAUAGGUUUGGAGUUCGUGUUCAACUGUCGUUGCUAUAGCAUACUUGAUUAGAAUUACCACCAACAAACUCAUCUCCCAAGAUAAUUGUUUUCCCAAAGAAGCCAAAGAAGCUAAUGCUUGAACGGUAGAUAAUAUUACAUUUCCUGUCCUGUUUUAUACAU
rnacentral:misc_RNA from 1 species